GAUGAACGCUGGCGGCGUGCCUAAUACAUGCAAGUCGAGCGAACAGAUAAGGAGCUUGCUCCUUUGACGUUAGCGGCGGACGGGUGAGUAACACGUGGGUAACCUACCUAUAAGACUGGGAUAACUUCGGGAAACCGGAGCUAAUACCGGAUAACAUUUGGAACCGCAUGGUUCUAAAGUGAAAGAUGGUUUUGCUAUCACUUAUAGAUGGACCCGCGCCGUAUUAGCUAGUUGGUAAGGUAACGGCUUACCAAGGCAACGAUACGUAGCCGACCUGAGAGGGUGAUCGGCCACACUGGAACUGAGACACGGUCCAGACUCCUGCGGGAGGCAGCAGUAGGGAAUCUUCCGCAAUGGGCGAAAGCCUGACGGAGCAACGCCGCGUGAGUGAUGAAGGGUUUCGGCUCGUAAAACUCUGUUAUUAGGGAAGAACAAAUGUGUAAGUAACUGUGCACGUCUUGACGGUACCUAAUCAGAAAGCCACGGCUAACUACGUG
rnacentral:rRNA from 1 species